rnacentral:rRNA from 1 species
GUCGAGAAUCUUCCGCAAUGCGCGAAAGCGUGACGGAGCGACACCGCGUGAUGGAUGAAGUCCUUCGGGGCGUAAACAUCUUUUAUAAAGGAGGAAAUUUUUGACGUUACUUUAUGAAUAAGGGGCUCCCAAUCUCGUGCCAGCAGGAGCGGUAAUACGAGAGCCUCAAGCGUUAUCCGGAAUCAUUGGGCGUAAAGGGUGCGUAGGUGGUUUGAUUAGUCUCCCGUUAAAACUUCGAGCUUAACUCGAAAAGAGCGGGGGAAACGAUCAAACUAGAGUAUGUGAGAGGUGUGUGGAACUCAUGGUGUAGGGGUGAAAUCCGUUGAUAUCAUGGGGAACACCAAAAGCGAAGGCAGCACACUGGCACAUCACUGACACUGAGGCACGAAACCUAAGGUAGCGAAUGGGAUUAGAAACCCGGGUAGUCC